UUACCCUACUGUUACUGAAUGAUUCUUUUAGCCUAUAGUUAAAAAUCGAGGGGUUGAGGAGUAGCUUACACGGAAGGCUUCGUCAAGGCAAGAUCUUUUUAUUUUAUGUGUGGUAAAUGGUAAAAUUAAUCAUCCACGAUAUUGAAAUGCAAGAAUUUAAAAUGGAAGGAGGAGAACAAAAAAUUGUGGAAUACUAUAGUGUAACGGUACAUGUUAUCUCUGGAAGACUUAUAUAAAUGAUUACAUCUUUGAAUUGUUAGAUAUUACGUAAUUUUGCGUUAUAUUCAUUUUUCUUGUUCAUUAAUUGCAGCCUGUUUUUAAAUUUGUUAAAUUUGAUUUCUUCUGAUUUAUGAGCCUAAUUUUUUUUCUUUAUAUUCUUUUUCGUUCAUUGACUUCAGCUUUGUUUGAGUACUUUAUUGAAUUCGAGUACAUCUGGUAUUUUAGUCUCUGAACAAAUGAGGCUGGUUAUUCUGGAGUUUCGAAGAAAACAAUUGUUUCUGGUGUUUGUUGUGAAAUUCAAAUUUGAAAUAUAACAAAAAGUGUUGGU